CUCGUAGGCGGCCAACUAAGUCAGACGUGAAAUCCCUCGGCUUAACCGGGGAACUGCGUCUGAUACUGGUUGGCUUGAAUCCGGGAGAGGGAUGUGGAAUUCCAGGUGUAGCGGUGAAAUGCGUAGAUAUCUGGAGGAACACCGGUGGCGAAGGCGGCAUCCUGGACCGGUAUUGACGCUGAGGAGCGAAAGCUAGGGUAGCAAACG
rnacentral:rRNA from 1 species